rnacentral:lncRNA from 1 species
GGGACUAGUUGCAAGGGAGCGUGGGGCAGGAGUUUGGGGAUGUGUCUCCAUAGGAGUGGGCAUCUUGCAGUGUCAGGGGUUUAAAUUAAACUGGGGGGCGGGGAGGAGGAGAGACCUUCCCCGCCACCUGCAGCGUUGACUCCGGGCAUCACUUCGGUGCAGGGACCCAGCUGACACUUCUUAUUUCGGUCCCGCCUCUCCCGCAGCAGUCUGCAACUUGCGGGCGUCCAGGCAGGACGGCAGCAGCUGAGCAGAGGAGAGAGUCCCGCUGCAGUCCCAGAAACCUGGUUUAACUGCAGAGGAUAUCACGGUGCAGUCUGCCUCUCCUCUCUACCCUUGCCGGAGCCUGAUUGCCACCCGCCCGACUUCUCCCAGCUCCCCCAACCCCCAAUCUCCUUGCCCACCCACCCUCUGCAAAGGACCCCGGAGGAAGGAGCCUCUGCACUCCCCCCAGGGAGCUGUUGCCUCAGGAGGCCAAGGAGAGCUUCGCCUGCAGUUUUGUGCUUCGGAGAUCUCUGCCCUGGUGGAGUCCCGCAAACUGUGCGUGUGAGUCUGCCAGAGGGGCGCUUCUGA